rnacentral:rRNA from 1 species
GACGAACGCUGGCGGCGUGCUUAACACAUGCAAGUCGAACGGUGAAAGCGGAGCUUGCUCCGCUGGAUCAGUGGCGAACGGGUGAGUAACACGUGGGCAACCUGCCCCUCACUUCGGGAUAACCCCGGGAAACCGGGGCUAAUACCGGAUAUGACCUCCUUGGGCAUCCUUGGAGGUGGAAAGUUUUUCGGUGAGGGAUGGGCCCGCGGCCUAUCAGCUUGUUGGUGAGGUAGUGGCUCACCAAGGCGACGACGGGUAGCCGGCCUGAGAGGGCGCCCGGCCACACCGGGACUGAGACACGGCCCAGACUCCUACGGGAGGCAGCAGUGGGGAAUAUUGCGCAAUGGGCGAAAGCCUGACGCAGCAACGCCGCGUGCGGGAUGACGGCCUUCGGGUUGUAAACCGCUUUCAGCAGGGAAGAAGCCGCAAGGUGACGGUACCCGCAGAAGAAGCACCGGCUAACUACGUGCCAGCCGCCGCCGUAA